ensembl:lncRNA
AUGCUGCUGCUGCCCGUCCUGCUGGCAGCUUCUUGUUGGUCCCGUGGAGACGGACAGGCAGUGCCAGUGCAAAGCCCGGCGAAUCGGAGGCAGGUGAAGGGCAGCUCAGCCAGAAUGGAGUGCCGGCUGAGCAGUAAUGCCAUCGUGCACUGGUACAAGCAGCUUCCUGGAGAGCCACCCAAGAGGAUACUGUACGUGUCGGGACAGAGUCCUACGUUUGAUGAUGGCUCUGAUGGCCGAAAGUAUCAAGUGUGGAAACAUGCCUCUGAACCUCUCUAUAGUCUCACAAUUGAUUUCUUAACCCAGAGGGACACUGGCACUUACUACUGUGCAUACUGGUAUUAUUAUCAAGGCAUCACAGUGUUAGAUGGCCAAGAUAAACCAUACAAAAAGGCACUUGGCACUCCGAACCGCAAGCUCUGAGCUCUGCCCCAACACAGAUACUUCCUCAUUCAGCCCUGCUGUGAUGAUUUUCUGCCAUAGGAUAGGAAAAACAACAACGUAGUGUGACAACUGCUAAAUAGAGGAUGUUAAUAAUCAGGAUAUUAUUUCCAAACUCACACAUCUCUGUAACAAGCAGAAACUUCAGGGCCCUAUCAAAUGAACCACAGAAUCAGAAUAUCUCGAGCUGAAAGGGACCCAUAAAGAUCAUCGAGUCCAACUCCUGGCACCACACAGGUCUACCCAAAUUUUUAGACCAUGAGACUAAAGGCACAGACAAAUUGCUUCUUAAACUCCAACAUGCUUGCUUGGUGCAGUGACUGCUUCCCUGGGGAGCCUGUUCCAGUGUGUGACCACCCUCUCGGUGAAGAACCUCUUCCUGAUGUCUAGCCUGAACCUCUCCUGCCUCAGCUUGACACCAUUCCCGUGGGUUCUAUCACUGGUGACUAAGGAGAAUAGAUCAGCACCUGUCCAUCUGUUCCCCCUUGUGAGGAAGCUGUAGGCCACAAUGAGGUCUCCCCUCAGCCUCCUCUUUUCCAGGAUGAACAGGCCAAAUGACCUCAGCUGCUCCUCAUAUGUCUUCCCCUCUAGGCCCUUCACAUUUUCAUAGCACUCCUGAGGUGCAAAUGGGAACUUUGCUGUCAAGACGACAGCAAAGAAGGUACAAAGUGAACGCAGUCUGUCUGUGCCUUGUGAACAAACAGCAGCUGAAGGUUUCUAUUGUUUAUUGGAAUCCAUGGAGCAAGCAGACAAAUAUAUCUCCAUCCCCUUGCUGCUCUCUCUUGAAAUCAGUUGCGCAUGUGAAACAAGGAGAGAAGACUGCAUGAUUUGGUAGACUUUCCUUCCCAUUUUCCUACUGUCUUCCUUGGCAUUUCAGUCCCUACAAAGUCCUAAAACAAACCAGAAACUCUACUUUAUCAUCAUAGUUUCUCCCCUGAGGUGUCCAGAAUAGAAGUGAAGUCCUCAGCCAUGGGCUAUGCCUCCAACAAACAGACAGAUGGCAAGGAGAUCAUCAGCAGUACUCAGCAUGGAUUCACCAUGGAGAAGUCAUUCUUGACCAAUCCCAUACACUUCUACAAUUAAAUGUCCAGACUGCUGGAUGAGGGGAGAGAAGUGCAAAUAGCCUGGGGAUUUGAUUAAAGCCCUUGACACUGUCACCACUAAGACCCUAAGAGAAAGGCUGUUGAUGUGAGGGGCUGGAGGAGGAGACAGAAAGUUGGGCUGAGCAGCUGGGCCCCAAGAGUGGUGAUCAGAGGCACAAAGGCCUCUGAAAGGCCUUUAGUAGUGUACUAGCAGUGUACCCCGGGAAUCAGUUCUGGGUCUGGUCCUUUCUAACAUCUUCCUUAAUGCUUUGGAUGACGGGACAGAGUGGUUCCUCAACAUGUUUGUUCACAACACCAGUAUGGGAGGAGUGGAAGAUACACCAUAGGGCCAUGCUGCCAUCCAGAGGCACCUUGUCAGGCUGGAGAAAUGGGCUGACAGCAGCCUCAUGAUGUGUAAGGGGGACAUACAGGGCCCUGCACAUGGCACAUGUUUUCUGCUUUUCCUUCCCGCUCUUUCUUUCCAAGAAGUGCUUGCACCUCAUCUCAGCUUCAAAACCCAAACCCUGCAGCUGUGCAUUUCCUCCCCACGCAAAACCACAGGCAAGGCACCUGCUCCUGGGGAUGCUGCUGUGGUUGCUGCAGGUUGAUCCCCACGAGCUGCUGCAGUGGGGGCAGCACAGGCACAGGGGCAUUUCGGCAGGCCACAGCUGGGUGGCCAGGCUGAGGCAGCAAGACGUGGUCCCUGACGGGGUGGGGACAUGCCAUGCCUCCUGCCACUGCGGGGGACCGCAUACACUCAGCGCCCAUCAGGGUGGCCUCUGGGCUGGGAGCUUCACGCCCUGAUGUACGGCUGCAGCUGCUCUCACUCUCAACCCCUUCUCAGCAGCUCUGCCUCAAGUUUCCACACGCCACGCUCCUUGGACUUACCAGUCUUUCUGAAAAGCUGAUGGGAUGACAACGUCCUCACCAACGUGAGCAUUCCCAGGUCUAAGCCCUUUUCCAGGCUGCAGUGGUUUCUCUGCAAACCUAGCCCCACACGGUUGUGCCCAGAAGAGCCAUCGCUGGAGACGUCUUCUCCCCUACCUCAACCCUGUCCCCAUCUGGGGCCCCUUUCCCUAUCCUCUGAGUCUCA